GUCUCUGUGGUGCAAUUGGUUAGCACAUUCAGCAUGAAUCUGAAAGGUUGGUGGUUCAAGUCCACCCAGAGACG